GGUGCCAUAGCUCAGUUGGUAGAGCAAAGGACUGAAAAUCCUUGUGUCGCUGGUUCGAUUCCAGCUGGCACCACAA
rnacentral:tRNA from 3 species